rnacentral:tRNA from 1 species
GGUGAGUUGGCAGAGUUGGUCGAUUGCGGGUGCCUCGAAAGCAUCUAGACGUGAUGAGCGUCUCCUGGGUUCGAAUCCCAGGCUCACCG